rnacentral:sRNA from 1 species
UCAUACGUAAUGAGACUUGACAGGUGU